UAUCUCUCGCACGUGUACGUCACUCAUUGUUUGCACUUACUGUCUAUGGUUUAGACAGAGAUUUCGGAAGUGUUACCUUUCACUGUGAAGAUCUAAACAUAUUUAGACGUACAGGAAAUUGCAAUGGAAGACGUUUUCAAUAUAUCAACAGGCAACGUUUAAUUUUUUUCACAACCAUAUUUAUUUGAACAGAUCAAGUAUUUAGAGCAAUGGAGGAAGCAUCCGCUGCAGGCAGCACGUCUUGAAGCCUCACAGAGACAGAGAUCUCUUCAAAAUUGGUGGUGUUUUAGUAGCAAGUGAUGUGAGAUGCCAACAGAAGUGGAGAGCAUAUUUUGUCACAACUAGCUACAGGACGAUGAUGAGGACAUUGACAGUAUCGUAUCACACACCUGCCUGACUGAAGAUCCUGAGUUUUCUCCGCUGUUGAGUCGCAGCGGUUUGCACAUUGUGUUUUGUUUGCCACGUAUAAACUGGAGGCGGUGUCCAAGGCCAGACGGACCAAAUCGUACGCCGUCAAUAGAACAGUGCAGAUCACUUCCGGUGCUUUCCGCGUGCACACGUCACAUCAUUUAGCACGCACGCCCUCAGAUCAGUUGGACAUGGUCGUGUAAAAGAGGUGGUGACUAUAGACCUCCAUUAUAUGAGUCACAGACAAGAAUGUUUUUGACCUAAAAAUAUCAAAAUGGAAACUACUGCGGAAACAAAGACACCUACAUCUAGGAUGUCCUUGAGGUAAGCUAAAACAUACCAAAAUUUAAUUUGAAAGUGAACUAUCCCUUUAAAUGAACAUUUAACAGGUCUUUCCCUUUAGUCAAAACAUAAAAUAACAUAUGUCCGAUCCAGCCCUAUGCAAAGUGUGCUGAAAACUACUCGGUUAUGCAUGUAACCCUUGUUCCCUGAAUGGGGAAAUGGAGACGUCAUGUCGGUGAUGACCGACAAAUUGUGAUCUUGCUAGAGAGACCAAUGCACUUAGAGUGUAAACUAAACGAGCCAAUGCACAUUGGCAUGCCAUUGUUGCAUCCAGCUGCCACUGAUCACUGUGUGAGUUUAAGAGUCAGCAAGUGCACCACAUUCAUUCAUGUUUUCGCUAAGGAGACAAGCUGGUAAACCGGCAGCUAAGUGGUGGUACAGCAACUGUGGUGAUGGAAUGUGAGCUCUGUUCCCUCCUUCAGGGAAUGAGGGUUACAUAUGUAACCGAGAUGUUACCUUUCAGUCGGUCACUCUCGACUUCACAUCGGUGAUGGCCAAUGGGAUUCCUACCAACACGCCACAGGUGCUGCCCCCUCUAGUGCCACCCAAUGCUGGAGGACUCAACAGAGUAUGCCUGGUCAGGGGAACUAGGCAGCCAGGAUGCCGCAAGCCCACUCUGAACUGGGCCUCUCAGUGCCACUACCUGUUUGAGGUGAGAACACAGGAGGAAACUGGUUCAACACACAGGCUAUAUAACCUAGAGAACAUGUUAGGACUCGUCCAGCUCGCAGUUCUACAAAUUUCCUAGCGCCCAGGACGAUGUGACACUCCUGGUGGAGUGAGCACGCAGCCUAAGCGGGCAGGACACACCUUAUGCUUCAUAGGAAAAGGUGAUGGCAUCCACUAUCCAGUGGGCCAUCCUAUGUUUGGAGACAGCUUUCCCCUUCUGCUGUCCACCGUAACUGACAAAGAGCUGUUCUGAGUUCCUAAAGCUCUGAGUUCUAUACACAUACUGUUGCAGUGAGCAUACAGGAUAGAGCAAAGCUAGGGCUGGGUCUACCUCCUCCAAGGGUAGCGAUUGCAGGUUCACCACCUGGUCCCUGAAGGGAGUGGUAGGAACCUUGGGCACUUAGCCUAGCUAGGGUCUCAGUGUUUCACUGGAAUCAGCCGGCCCAAACUCAAUGCACGAUUCAUAGACCGAAAAUGCCUGCAGGUUCCCCACCCCCUUGAUCGAGGCAAAUGCAGUCAGGAGCAGGGUUUUCAUAUAAAAAUGUCACCUCGACUGUCUGCAAAGGCUCGAAGGGGCCAGUUUGCAGGGCUCCUAGCACCAAUGCCAAACCCCAAGAGGGCAGGGAGGGAGGCCUAGGAGGAUUUAACUUCCUGGCCCCCCUAAGAAACUUGUCUCCAGAUCAACCAUCUUCAGAGUAGCUGAACCACCUAGGGGUGGAGUCUCCACUCUCCCAGAAGUGCUGCUCAAUUCAACACUCCCAGGAUGUGGAUGGCACAAAAGGAACCUCAGAUGCUUCUGACUCCACAGGAGGAGGUGGCUCGCGAGUUGCAACAAGUGACGGGAGCGUGAACUUCCUUGUUAGCAACUCGAGGUAAUUGAUAUGCCAGUGCAGUUGGGGACCCAUCCAAAACCCUGAUACUGCAUGUCAUUGUACCUGGCCACCCAGCUGGUGGCCGAAGCAUCCAUGAAUACUACAGCAUGCCUGGAUAUAUGUUUAAGGGGCACUCCUACCUGGAGAAAUUAGAGAUCUGACUGACCAGGGGCUGAAGAUUCUGUGGCAGGCCGGUGUAAUCUGAACCUGGUGAACCUGCCAUUUGACCCUGGAGCCUUCCAGAGGUAUUAAGAGAAAAAAAGUAAAAAAGAAACAAACAAACAACCAAUUCCUUCUCAUUUCGUUUUAAUGGGAAGAGAGAUGGUUGUAAAUAUCACAGGAAGUUAUAUCUGUUUUGGCAUAAAACAAC